UCUUGAAGGAAAUUCUUUCCUCUUUCAAUCUGAUAUUUUAGUUUAUUAUUUCUCCUUAGAGGAGUUACUGAAAAAUCAAUUUGAUUAACGACACCCAUUCUUGAGGCAAACUGGCCUGGCAACGUUGGGGCAGUUUGCGUGUAUAACAUCUCUGUCGUCUAACGUCAAAAUGAUGGUUACAUUUUGAAAGCUGCCAAGAAAGUUGUUGCUGAGAAACAAAAAGUAUGUGAUGUUUCCAAAGAAACCUCCAUCCAAAAAGAGCUCUACUGAGAUAUGUUAAAAAUUUCUUGGCUACUGGAAUUCAAGAUGAAGUUGAAGCAACUACAAUCAUUGGGGGUUACCAAAAACCUCGUAAGGUUUUCAGCAGCGAACAAGAAAGCAAUCUUAGCAGUUACGUCAAAAGGGCCAGUGACAUUUAUCAUGGAAUCACUACCACAGACAUGAGAAGAUUGGCUUAUCAGUACGCUACCCAAGAAAAAUGUAUUGUCCCUCUUUCUUGGUCGGUCAAGAAGGAAGCUGGAAGAGACUGGCUCUCUGGUUUCAUGAGAAGACGUCAAGACCUUUCAAUCAGAAAACCACAAGCAACAUCUCUAAGCAGAGCUACCAGCUUCAACAAGCAUUACAUUGAUUCCUUCUUUGACAAUGUUGUGGUUGAACUUCAGAGUUCAUUUAAAGGAAUAUUUCCUCAAUGGUGCCCCUCUUGGUUCUGUUGGAUCAGCCAAUAAGUCUGGCUGGAUAUGUCAGAAAGAUCGGUCGACUUUGCUCCAUCUUUCGUCACGGAUCGUCCUUUUAAUUCAUCACCAGUCCCAUCUUCAUAGAAAUCCCAGCAUCCAACGAUAACAUCGUCCAAGAAGGCCAAACUCCCGUUCCAGAGAACCACAUCACACACGGCCAAUGUUCUUAGUUAUUUUAAUUAUCUUGAUGUCGUGGCCAUUUUAAUUUUUGAUUUUUAAAUAACUCAUGUAUCGUUGUCAUUUCCACCAAGAAUAUACUUUUGAAUCUUAACUUUCUUUCUUUAUUUAUACGUUUAACUGAUGUACCGUCCCUUGGACUGUUAGUCCAUAAGAAUAACAUGGGCUUUUAUGCCCCCAUACAUGGAGCGAAGUGCCCCUUCAACGGGGCAUCUCGUCUUUUAAUUUU
rnacentral:lncRNA from 1 species